GACGAACGCUGGCGGCGUGCCUAAUACAUGCAAGUCGAACGAGUGGCGGACGGGUGAUUAACACGUGGGAACCUACCCAUCAGAGGGGGAUAACACUUGGAUACAGGUGCUAAUACCGCCUACUGAUGGAUGGACCCGCGGUGCAUUAGCUGGUAGGGGGGGUAAAGGCUCACCUAGGCGACGAUCUCUGGCGGGUCUGAGAGGAUGAUCAGCCAAACUGGGACUGAGACACGGCCCAGACUCCUACGGGAGGCAGCAGUGGGGAAUAUUGCACAAUGGGCGCAAGCCUGAUGCAGCCAGGCCGCGUGUAGGAAGAAGGCCUUAGGGUUGUAAAGUACUUUCAGCGGGGAGGCGUUACCCGCAGAAGAAGCACCGGCUAACUCCGUGCCAGCAGCCGCGGUAAUAC
rnacentral:rRNA from 1 species